UGGGGAAUAUUGCACAAUGGGCGCAAGCCUGAUGCAGCCAUGCCGCGUGUGUGAAGAAGGCCUUCGGGUUGUAAAGCACUUUCAGCGAGGAGGAAGGUGGUGAACUUAAUACGUUCAUCAAUUGACGUUACUCGCAGAAGAAGCACCGGCUAACUCCGUGCCAGCAGCCGCGGUAAUACGGAGGGUGCAAGCGUUAAUCGGAAUUACUGGGCGUAAAGCGCACGCAGGCGGUUUGUUAAGUCAGAUGUGAAAUCCCCGGGCUCAACCUGGGAACUGCAUUUGAAACUGGCAAGCUAGAGUCUCGUAGAGGGGGGCUAGAAUUCCAGGUGUAGCGGUGAAAUGCGUAGAGAUCUGGAGGAAUACCGGUGGCGAAGGCGGCCCCCCUGGACGAAGACUGACGCUCAGGUGCGAAAAGCGUGGGGGCAGCAAACAGGAUUAGAUACCCUGGUAGUCCACGCUGU
rnacentral:rRNA from 1 species